rnacentral:ncRNA from 1 species
GUGGGUGGCUGGCGAUGCCGCCACCCGCCAUUCUCCUCUUGUCGUUGUUGCUCCGGGGCCGAUCAUCGAGCCCCGGUUUUUUUUU